rnacentral:tRNA from 1 species
GCAGGGGUCGCCAAGCCUGGUCAACGGCGCUGGACUUAAGAUCCAGUGAGUCAGUCUCUUCGAGGGUUCGAAACAACUGGUGCUCUGUUGAUGUGCAUUCUACAUUCGUUUCUUUGAUUCGAUGUAGAUUAUAUUUAUUGAAAUUAUUUGCGCAUUGGCGGGUCUUUGUUGGGAAAUUCCCUUCCCCUGCA